AGAGACGCUGGCGGCGUGCCUAACACAUGCAAGUCGAGCGGGGUUGAAGCGAGGGGUAACUCGAGUUUCUACCUAGCGGCGGACGGGUGAGUAACGCGUGGGCAACCUGCCUCAAGGACUGGGAUAACAGCUCGAAAGGGCUGCUAAUACCGGAUAAGCCUAUGGCCUCGCAUGGGGCCAUGAGCAAAGGGGAAACCCGCCUUGAGAUGGGCCCGCGUCCCAUCAGCUAGUUGGUGAGGUGAAGGCUCACCAAGGCGACGACGGGUAGCCGGCCUGAGAGGGUGACCGGCCACACUGGGACUGAGACACGGCCCAGACUCCUACGGGGGGCAGCAGUGGGGAAUCUUGCACAAUGGGCGAAAGCCUGAUGCAGCGACGCCGCGUGAGCGAAGAAGGCCUUCGGGUUGUAAAGCUCUGUCUGGAGGGACGAAGGAAGUGACGGUACCUCCGGAGGAAGCCACGGCUAACUACGUG
rnacentral:rRNA from 1 species